UGAACGCUGGCGGCGUGCCUAAUACAUGCAAGUCGAGCGAACAGACGAGGAGCUUGCUCCUCUGACGUUAGCGGCGGACGGGUGAGUAACACGUGGAUAACCUACCUAUAAGACUGGGAUAACUUCGGGAAACCGGAGCUAAUACCGGAUAAUAUAUUGAACCGCAUGGUUCAAUAGUGAAAGACGGUUUUGCUGUCACUUAUAGAUGGAUCCGCGCCGCAUUAGCUAGUUGGUAAGGUAACGGCUUACCAAGGCAACGAUGCGUAGCCGACCUGAGAGGGUGAUCGGCCACACUGGAACUGAGACACGGUCCAGACUCCUACGGGAGGCAGCAGUAGGGAAUCUUCCGCAAUGGGCGAAAGCCUGACGGAGCAACGCCGCGUGAGUGAUGAAGGUCUUCGGAUCGUAAAACUCUGUUAUUAGGGAAGAACAAAUGUGUAAGUAACUAUGCACGUCUUGACGGUACCUAAUCAGAAAGCCACGGCUAACUACG
rnacentral:rRNA from 1 species